rnacentral:rRNA from 1 species
UGGGGAAUAUUGGACAAUGGGCGCAAGCCUGAUCCAGCCAUGCCGCGUGAGUGAUGAAGGCCUUAGGGUUGUAAAGCUCUUUCGCCGACGAAGAUAAUGACGGUAGUCGGAGAAGAAGCCCCGGCUAACUUCGUGCCAGCAGCCGCGGUAAUACGAAGGGGGCUAGCGUUGUUCGGAAUCACUGGGCGUAAAGCGCACGUAGGCGGAUUGUUAAGUCAGGGGUGAAAGCCUGGAGCUCAACUCCAGAACUGCCCUUGAUACUGGCAAUCUCGAGUCCGGAAGAGGUAAGUGGAACUGCGAGUGUAGAGGUGAAAUUCGUAGAUAUUCGCAAGAACACCAGCGGCGAAGGCGGCUUACUGGUCCGGUACUGACGCUGAGGUGCGAAAGCGUGGGGAGCAAAACAGGAUUAGAUACCCUGGUAGUCCACGCCGUAAAACGAUGGAGGCUAGCCGUUGGCGAGCAUGCUCGUCAGUGGCGCAGCUAACGCAUUAAGCCUCCCGCCUGGGGAGUACGGUCGCAAGAUUAAAAACUC